UUUCCUCUUCAAACUUUUCAAAUGGUUCCUCUCGCCACAAAAUAGCUGAAAUGACCAAUUAUGAAGAUGGAGGUGUCCAGUUGGGCGCACACCAAUUCAUCGACUUAUUGUCGCCUUGUGUUGAGUACAAUGCUCAGUGA
ensembl:ncRNA ZC64.13 ncRNA